GACGAACGCUGGCGGCGUGCUUAACACAUGCAAGUCGAACGGGUCUGCCCUGUUUUUUGCGGGGUGGGUCAGUGGCGAACGGGUGAGUAACACGUGAGUAACCUGCCCCUCACUUCUGGAUAACCGCUUGAAAGGGUGGCUAAUACGGGGUGUUCUGGCUGUGCCGCAUGGUGUGGCUGGGAAAGAUUCACUUUUGUGGUGUUUUGGUGGGGGAUGGGCUCGCGGCCUAUCAGCUUGUUGGUGGGGUGAUGGCCUGCCAAGGCUUUGACGGGUAGCCGGCCUGAGAGGGUGGGCGGUCACACUGGGACUGAGAUACGGCCCAGACUCCUGCGGGAGGCAGCAGUGGGGGGUAUUGCACAAUGGGCGGAAGCCUGAUGCAGCGACGUCGCGUGAGGGAUGGAGGCCUUCGGGCUGUGAACCUCUUUCGCCGGUGAAGAAGGUCCUGCUCUUUGUGGUGGGGUUGACGGUAGCCGGGUUAUGAAGCGCCGGCUAACUACGUG
rnacentral:rRNA from 1 species